rnacentral:rRNA from 1 species
CGCGUAGGCGGCCGUUUAAGUCAGAUGUGAAAGCCCGGGGCUCAACCCCGGAAGUGCAUUUGAUACUAUUCGGCUUGAGUAUGGGAGAGGGAAGUGGAAUUCCUGGUGUAGAGGUGAAAUUCGUAGAUAUCAGGAGGAACACCAGUGGCGAAGGCGACUUCCUGGACCAAUACUGACGCUGAGGCGCGAAGGCGUGGGGAGCAAACAGGAUUAGAUACCCUGGUAGUCC